AAUCAACGCUGGCGGCGUGCCUAACACAUGCAAGUCGAACGCGAAAGUCCCGCAAGGGGCAAGUAGAGUGGCAAACGGGUGAGUAACACGUGGGUGACCUGCCUUCGAGUGGGGGAUAACGUCCCGAAAGGGACGCUAAUACCGCAUGACAUCCUGCUUUUGGAAAAGCGGAGAUCAAAGCCGGGGAUCGCAAGACCUGGCGCUCGAAGAGGGGCCCGCGCCUGAUUAGCUAGUUGGGAGGU
rnacentral:rRNA from 1 species